AAUAGAAAGUACAUUUAUGUUUACAAUUAAAGUGCAUUUGCAUGUAUCUAAACUUUUCUGGAUUACUUAUUGAUUUAUCUUCACCAAUUAAGUUUUCAAUCGCAUUUUUAAAUAAAUAUUGUCUACAAAUGGCAAUAAACAUGCCUAGAUAAACUUGUUAAAGUUGAAAAUGAUUCAAAAGAUGGAAACAGUAACAGCAAUACAGUCGAUUGGUGUAUAGCGGAUUAUAUAGUGUAAUUUCUCUGUACAAUCGCCUGAUUUCCAAACGCCGCACUCCUGUGAACGAAACGCCUCGUUCCUGUGGACGCGUUACGCGGGUGCGUACUGCGGUGGGGGUUGUGGGUAGCCGCCUGGUUGUCCUGGAUAUGGACCGGGUUGACCUGAAUACGGAGCCGGUUGCCCGGGAUAAGGGG